rnacentral:sRNA from 1 species
AAGCGACCAAUUCCAAGCGCCGGAAGAUGGGUAGGAAGCCGGCCGCGUGCGACACGCGCAUGACGGAGUCGUCCGCCCCCAGAGUCGCCCGGGCCUGCCUAAUGCC